rnacentral:misc_RNA from 1 species
UGAUGUUGUUCUAUGGAGGCGAAAAGAUGUGACAGUGGGAAUUCUUGUAGUAACAUUGUUUGCUUGGGUGGUGUUUGAGAGAUCUGGUUAUACACUUCUAUCAUUAGUCUCAAGUGUUUUCUUUCUGCUGUUUGCCAUUUUGUUUCUAUGGUCUAAAUCAGCUGCAAUUCUUAACAGACCAGCUCCACCUCUGCCGCAUUUGUAUCUCUCUGAAGAAAUGGUAAAUGAAGCAGCAUAUUUCAUCCGCAAUCACAUCAACAUGAUACUGUCAGUUUCUGAGGAUAUUGCCCUUGGUAAGGACACAAAUAUGUAUGUUAAG